rnacentral:rRNA from 1 species
GAUGAACGCUAGCUACAGGCUUAACACAUGCAAGUCGAGGGGUAACAUUGGCGGAGCUUGCUCAGCCAGAUGACGACCGGCGCACGGGUGAGUAACGCGUAUCCAACCUGCCCAUGGCUAGGGAAUAGCCCGUUGAAAAGCGGAUUAAUGCCCUAUGGCGUCCUUUGCAGACAUCUAACGAGGACAAAAGGUUUACCGGCCAUGGAUGGAGAUGCGUCCGAUUAGGUAGUUGGCGGGGUAACGGCCCACCAAGCCCUCGAUCGGUAGGGGUUCUGAGAGGAAGGUCCCCCACAUUGGAACUGAGACACGGUCCAAACUCC